UACGGAGGAUCCGAGCGUUAUCCGGAUUUAUUGGGUUUAAAGGGUGCUUAGGCGGCAUAUUAAGUUAGUGGUCAAAUGGUCCGGCUCAACCGGAUUUCGCCAUUAAAACUGAUGUGCUAGAGAUUAAACGAGGUAGGCGGAAUAAGUUAAGUAGCGGUGAAAUGCAUAGAUAUAACUUAGAACUCCGAUAGCGAAGGCAGCUUACCAGGCUACAUCUGACGCUGAAUCACGAGAGCGUGGGUAUCGAACAGG
rnacentral:rRNA from 1 species